rnacentral:rRNA from 1 species
GACGAACGCUGGCGGCGUGCUUAACACAUGCAAGUCGAACGGUAAGGCCCUUCGGGGUACACGAGUGGCGAACGGGUGAGUAACACGUGGGUGAUCUGCCCUGCACUUCGGGAUAAGCCUGGGAAACUGGGUCUAAUACCGGAUAGGACCACUGCCUGCAUGGGUGGGGGUGGAACGCUUUUGCGGUGUAGGAUGGGCCCGCGGCCUAUCAGCUUGUUGGUGGGGUGAUGGCCUACCAAGGCGACGACGGGUAGCCGGCCUGAGAGGGUGACCGGCCACACUGGGACUGAGAUACGGCCCAGACUCCUACGGGAGGCAGCAGUGGGGAAUAUUGCACAAUGGGCGCAAGCCUGAUGCAGCGACGCCGCGUGAGGGAUGACGGCCUUCGGGUUGUAAACCUCUUUCAGCACCGACGAAGCGCAAGUGACGGUAGGUGCAGAAGAAGGACCGGCCAACUACGUGCCAGCAGCCGCGGUAAUAC